AGGAACAAGGUACCACCUUGAAGGUAGAGAGCUGGGGUGAUGGAAAAGUGAGCAUGCCAAAGGAUAUGAAAUAUAAUAUCAACAAAUGAGAAAAAAAGACUGGAUUAGAGAGACGAUGAAAAUGGAUAUCCUAGCAGCUGUCUUUUCUACAUUGAAUACACAUGUUGCCUGGUCUCUGGCAAUCAUCCAAUCAUCAUCAUGUCAGGAAGAAAUAAAUUAUAUGUCAAAAAUGAGUCUCAGGCUGUGCUAUAGAUAUUAUCACAUGGACUUUCCCCUCACCAUAUAAGACUUCUUUUCCCACUGGAGUAAUUUAAGAUCAACCCAGCACAAGACCAAUUUAUUGCAAAAAGAAUGAUUGCCUCAUGAUCCAUGGUGCUAUGCCCCACCUGGGACUUGUCAGUUCUUUACUGCACACAGCUGCCUAAGCAUCUGCCUUAGCAUCGCUAGUAUUUGCUGUCCCUUGUGCUUCUCAACUAUCUUCAGAAAGGAACGCAAUAUGAAAUCAAAAGUUCCUGCAACAUUCCCAAUUUAGAUAAACUGAAGGUUUAUAGUUCAGUGCCAAAACUCUUUUGGGCUGUUCUGGCCAAGAAUUUUUAAUAUAAGAAUAAAUCUACCCCUUGGACCAAUGAUGUUGAUGCAAAUAAUUGUUGGGUUAGGUAUAUUUUAAGGACUUAUUUUAUAUUUUUGAUUCCUAAUAGUAUUUUAUAGUAAGAAGAUUUUUGUCUUAGCCCCAUGAAAUUCUCUUUUUGAAUUCAUAAAUGACCAAAUCAUUUUCUUUAUUUUGUCUCCAAACUUCCAGACUUCUCAUAGUUCUUUUCACCUCUCUAUCUUGCCUCUCCCAGACCUCUGGCCUGAUAUUCUAUAAUGUUUUUAUUUGUGAUUUCUUUCCACUAUCCUAGCCUUUAUGAACAAAUAAUCAAUUUGAUGACUUAGAAGAACUCAGUUAAUAACUCAAAUACAUCUUAUUAAUUAAAUUACAAUUGGGCAUGCGUCAUUCUUAAAUCUAAGAUGAAUAAUUGAAUUAAAUGCAAUUUUGAUAAUGUUUAAAAGUGAAGCCACCAGUUACAAAAUGGUGAUAAUCUUUUGGAGCCACAUAGCAGUAAAUAUGUGACUGUAAACACGUUCUACAUGACUAAAAAGCUCCUGACCCUGUCAAUGUGGGAGGACAUAAAAAGCAAUAUUCUGCAAUGAGUGGUGCUCACUCUAAUCCAGUGUUUCCCAAACUAUUUUUUUCAUUAUCACUGUGUCAGGAAAAUUUUGAGAUUUUUAACCUAAUCAACCACCCCAGAAAUUUUAAUCCUAUAUUGCAUAUGUGUAUAUGUACUGUAUGCAUAUCUGCACCUUCUAAAUAAAAAA
rnacentral:lncRNA from 1 species